AGAGUUUGAUCCUGGCUCAGAUUGAACGCUGGCGGCAGGCCUAACACAUGCAAGUCGAGCGGAUGACAGGAGCUUGCUCCUGAAUUCAGCGGCGGACGGGUGAGUAAUGCCUAGGAAUCUGCCUGGUAGUGGGGGACAACGUUUCGAAAGGAACGCUAAUACCGCAUACGUCCUACGGGAGAAAGCAGGGGACCUUCGGGCCUUGCGCUAUCAGAUGAGCCUAGGUCGGAUUAGCUAGUUGGUGAGGUAAUGGCUCACCAAGGCGACGAUCCGUAACUGGUCUGAGAGGAUGAUCAGUCACACUGGAACUGAGACACGGUCCAGACUCCUACGGGAGGCAGCAGUGGGGAAUAUUGGACAAUGGGCGAAAGCCUGAUCCAGCCAUGCCGCGUGUGUGAAGAAGGUCUUCGGAUUGUAAAGCACUUUAAGUUGGGAGGAAGGGCAUUAACCUAAUACGUUAGUGUUUUGACGUUACCGACAGAAUAAGCACCGGCUAACUCUGUGCCAGCAGCCGCGGUAAUACAGAGGGUGCAAGCGUUAAUCGGAAUUACUGGGCGUAAAGCGCGCGUAGGUGGUUCGUUAAGUUGGAUGUGAAAGCCCCGGGCUCAACCUGGGAACUGCAUUCAAAACUGACGAGCUAGAGUAUGGUAGAGGGUGGUGGAAUUUCCUGUGUAGCGGUGAAAUGCGUAGAUAUAGGAAGGAACACCAGUGGCGAAGGCGACCACCUGGACUGAUACUGACACUGAGGUGCGAAAGCGUGGGGAGCAAACAGGAUUAGAUACCCUGGUAGUCCACGCCGUAAACGAUGUCAACUAGCCGUUGGGAGCCUUGAGCUCUUAGUGGCGCAGCUAACGCAUUAAGUUGACCGCCUGGGGAGUACGGCCGCAAGGUUAAAACUCAAACUCAAAGGAAUUGACGG
rnacentral:rRNA from 1 species